AUUGAACGCUGGCGGCAGGCUUAACACAUGCAAGUCGAACGGAACCUUCGGGUUUAGUGGCGAACGGGUGAGUAACACCUAGGAAUCUGCCUAUUAGUGGGGGAUAACGGCUCGAAAGGGUCGCUAAUACCGCAUACGUCCUACGGGAGAAAGAGGGGGACGUUGUUUACAAGCCUCUUGCUAAUAGAUGAGCCUAGGUCGGAUUAGCUAGUUGGUAGGGUAAAGGCCUACCAAGGCGACGAUCUGUAGCUGGUCUGAGAGGAUGGCCAGCCACACUGGAACUGAGACACGGUCCAGACUCCUACGGGAGGCAGCAGUGGGGAAUAUUGGACAAUGGGCGAAAGCCUGAUCCAGCCAUGCCGCGUGUGUGAAGAAGGCCU
rnacentral:rRNA from 1 species